ACAGUUGUGGCGCAGUGGUAGCGCAUCUGCUUCGCAGGAGUAUGCCGGAGAGCGUGACCGCGAGACAGAAUGUCCGGAAGGCCAAUGAGCCAAGGCGCGACUCGUCGAUGGAACUCGAAUGCAGGUGGUCGUCGGUUCAAUCCCGACCAAGUCCA
rnacentral:tRNA from 1 species